UGUGAAUGUUGAGAUGUUAUAUUGGUUUCACUGGUAAUAAUAAAUAAUUGAAAUGGGUAUAUAUUUGUUUUUUGUUAAGUUGCCUAAUAAUUAUGCACAGUAAUAGUCACCUGCACACAUAGAUAUCCCCCUAACAUAGCUAUAACUAAAAACAAACUAAAAACUACUUCCAAAAAUAUUCAGCUUUGAUAUUAAUGAGUUUUUU